rnacentral:tRNA from 1 species
GAGGGUAUAGCUCAGUGGUAGAGUGCCUCCUUAGCACGCACAAGGUCCUGGGUUCAAUUCCCAGAGCCUCCA